AGCGGUUUUUCCGGUGCCUAUUCAGAAGACCCAUUACUGCAAACAAUCUUCUGCAAUCUUCUCUUGUAGAUUUUGAAGUACAAGUACAAUCUUCUGGAAUCUUUCCUGUACCGCAAUUUCCCUCUAUCUCAUUUUGGUUUUCUCUAAAUUGUUCAUCAUCUCUGCUAUAAAAACUGAAACUCGUGAUCAGUCAUUGGCACCGCUUGAUAGUUCAACUACUCCAUCUGGUAGUCUUUUUCAAUUACUUAUAUUUUGUUGAGGUCUGGGUCUGAUGGCUUCGUUGGGUGGCAGUUUGAAUUCCGCCGCCACCAGCUACGCCUCCAUACUCGCCGACGUGGAGAAGCUCCAGACCCUCUUUUCUGACCCCAAGGUGUUCGACUAUUUCUCCAACCCAAUCGUCCGCGUCGAAGACAAAGCAGGUGCAGAAGCUCACUGGUCCAAGAAUGUGAGGAUUAAGACCCAGCUUGACCCGAGUUUAGUGGCUGUGAGGUAUGGGAAUUCUGGGUCUAAGUGAUUGACAUGAGUGUCAAGAAGCAUUUAGAGGAAAUUGCAGCUCAGCUUGAAGUGGCUGAUAUCUCACUGGUUGUAUGAGCUUGCUCUGUUUUCUCUCUUGCAUCCUUAUAUACUAUUUUUUUGGGGUUAAAGUAUAUGUAUGAAUAUGAAUCCUCAACUGUGUAGUGCAACCUUCUUAUAGUGCCUUAUGUGAUUCUUAAUUUUGAAAAAGUGGGUUUUUUCUGUUCUAUAUUAUAUUUGGAAACUCUUCUAUAAUUCUAGAUUUAAUAUCAAUUUUGAGGAGAAGCUUAUAUGAGUAGCUUCUGUGUAUUAAGAAUUGAAUCAGGAGAAAGAGAAAUAGUAGCUGAUUGUUCAUUUCAAUUAUUUGUCACUACUUGAUUCUUCAUUGCAACAGGAUGGAAAAUCAUGGAUUAUAUAUUGUGGUUCACAUGUACACUACAACUGGUAUAUGUAGGAGUGUGAUUUCUCUAACGUGAUUUUCAUCUUAGAAGAGAAAAAAUAGGCACUAAGACUUUGAUUGUUGAUUGGCCUAAAUAUUUUGAGAUUUAGCUAUGUGAUGAAUCAACAAACCAGUUGUAUUAUAUAAGCCCACAUGGUUUUAAGGAUCAUGCGUGCAUUAUGCAGAAGUAAAACAUGAUACCUUAAUCGUGCACUGAAUACCUUAUUUUUCAUCAAACUUGCAGGAGUUGUGGGUUAUCUUGGUUUGAAUUUGUUUGUGAAGAAGAUCUACAGAAACAUCAAGUGUGACUAAGGCAAAUGUUCGAGUCAAGUCGAAACCAGAGCAAUUUCAUAUGAUGGUUACGGGAGAAAAUAAAUUGUUAGAGGAAGCCUCUGGUCAUAUGUGGAGGACCAAACCAGCCUCUUUCAGCAUUAAAAGGUUCAAAUGGCAACUCAAUGCCUUCUCUGUUGCUUUCCAUCUUGAAUUCAAUCUUUUAUUACUUUUUCAAGGGAUCUAGCUCAGUAUUAAUUUUGUUCCUAUUGGACUUUGAGUUUCUCUCUCACCCAUCAUAGCUGUGCUCUCACUUCCCAAAUAAAAAGUCAUGCUUUUUCCUGCCAUGAACUUCAUUCCCCUCUUUUUUUUUCUGAUCAAUUAUGCUAAUUAGCAAAACAAACUCUUUUUCUUCAUCCAUUUAUGUACAGCUUCGAAAGUAGUUUCUUAUUUAGUGAUUUAGGCCAUUUUUUAAGACCUACCACCAGGUGAUAUUUGAGAUGUUGUUUGACUUUGUGUGUGUGCUCUAUGAUCUUUAUUCUUUAAUAUGGGGGUUGUGGUCUUCUAUUUCCCUCUUCUAGAAAUUUCUCCACAGCAUCUCAAAUUGUCAGGAUCGGGUCGAACUAUCCAGAACCAACUCAAAGACCUGCCAAAUAGAGAGGUAAGGACAUUACAUCUGCAAUCUACUCCUGCAUAUUUUGAAGUACAAGUGCAAUCUUCUCCAAUCCUCUCCUUUACCGCAAUUUCCCCUCUAUCUCAUGUUGAUUUUCUCUAAAUUCUUCAUUAUGUCUGCUAUAAAAACCCAAACUGUGAUCUGUCAUUGGCACCGCUUGAUAGAUCGACUACUCCAUCUGAUAUUCAUCUUCAAUUACUUACAUUUUUUUGAGGUCUGGGUCAAAUGGCUUUGUUGGGUGGCAGUUUGAAUUCUGUUGCUAGCCUUUGUCAUGGAAGAGACACAUGGAGGAUUAGGGUCUGUGUUCUUAGGAUGUGGGAGAUGAGCCCAAUUGUUGAGCCAGAAAAGCCCUUUGCAGUCCAGCUGGUCCUGAUGAUGCUGAGAGAAUAGGAUGAUUCUAAUCAAGGAAAAGAGUCUGGAGGAGAACAGGAUCAUAAAAGUGAUGUUGGAAACCGAUUUGCGGAUCGGUGUGUAUCUGAAGUUGUUAUUAUAGCAAUGGGGUUCUACUUCUUUUAGCAUAGACCCAUGAGCUGAUUUUGCUUUGUCUCCUGCAUCCUGUUUUGUGGUUGAGCUUUGUUUUGCUGGUUUUAACUGGAGCAGGAUUGGUAUUUUACUAUGAUAGAGAAAAGAAACGACAAAUUGAAGGUAGAUUACUAUGACAUACAUAAUGCUUUGAAGGCAGUGAAGCAUGGACCUUAUGCGGGAAAAGCUGCAAUUGGGGUCCAUUUCACCUUACCAACCAUCAUGAGAAGCACGUUACUGAAAAGGACUUCUUGGGGAAGUGGACAGUGAUGCAUUGGAUUUACUCACUGCCCAAAUAUCUGCCCUGAUGAACUACAGAAGUUAGCAGAUGCAGUUGAUAAAAUAAUACCUAUAUUUUCUUGCAAGGAGGGAGUGGUGUGUGGGAGUUGAUUGGCGGAGGCUGUGUUCGCUGAGAUGAUUGAUGCAGGUUGUAAUCCUAAUGCAGUACUUUAAAUAGUUUUAUACUUGAUGACCAGGUUCAAUUUCUUUAUCUAUGGAAGUUAUUUUCAUACUUAAUUUUCACUAAUGUAUGAUGCUAAGGGUAGCAAUCCAGUGAGUUUUUAUUUAGGUAGGCUAAUAACUUAGUCAUGAGUGGCCUCUUACUCCAACUUGAUCUUCUGGUAUGAAUCUUUGAUGUCGCUAAAUCUUUUGUGAACUGCUUUGGUUUCUACUUGAUACAUUAUUUUUGUAUUACUGCCUUAAAUCAUAAAUGCUAAAAUUCCCUUUUGCAAGUAAUAGGGAGUUAACUUUCAUCAUGCUAUUUUUAGGAUGAACCAAGAAAGAUGAGCAUAUAUCUUGAAGAGGCGGCGAUAGAUACUCUUAUUUAAUGCCUGAGAAACACAGAUUUCCCUGCUACACAAUUAGCAGCUGCAGAGACAAUAAUGUCACUGCAAAGGAGGUUCAGCUUCUCUGGAAAACCUCUUAUCAGAGAAAUCCUUCUUAAACAAGCAGACACAGACAAAAGUUCCAGAAGUUUUGUACCUCUGGAUCAGAUGAGCCCAGAGAUUUAAAUUACUCCAGAAUUGAAGGAGAAGUAGAAAUUAGCAUUAGCAAGAAGUAGCAUGUUGAAUUGAAGGAGAUGGAACUAGCAUCACAAGAAGGAAUUGAAGGAGAAUUAGAAAUUAGCAUCAGCAAGAAGUAGCAUAUGGAAUUGAAGGAGAUGGAAGUAGCAUGACAAGAAGAAAUUGAGCAGUUUUCAUUUGAGGGAGAGAAUGAAAAAAAUGAAGAAAUGUGAGCCAAGUAUAUAUUUGUACUCAUUUAUCUUUGUGUAAAAAACACAAUUAAUUGAUCAUUUUUCCCCCUUAUUUUGUAUUAAAAUCCCAAUAUCUGUACUUGGAGCUUUUUUUUUCCAGCUCCCACAAACGGUUGAUUGAUUUUAAAUAAAAAUGCAUGCUUCAUGAAAUCUUA